rnacentral:snoRNA from 1 species
CCCUCCUACCAAGGCUUGUCUUUGGUUUGCUGUCUUUGGAUACAUAAGAAUUGGAGGCAAAGAAAUGUGGAUUUGGAGAAAUCUGGGGCCAGCUUGCUCCCCGCAGGCUCAAGAUCAACCAUGCCACACAG